CCUACGGGGGGCAGCAGUGGGGAAUAUUGGACAAUGGGCGAAAGCCUGAUCCAGCCAUGCCGCGUGUGUGAAGAAGGCCUUCGGGUUGUAAAGCACUUUCAGUGGGGAAGAAAGCCUUGGGGCUAAUACCCUCGAGGAAGGACAUCACCCACAGAAGAAGCACCGGCUAACUCCGUGCCAGCAGCCGCGGUAAUACGGAGGGUGCGAGCGUUAAUCGGAAUUACUGGGCGUAAAGCGCGCGUAGGCGGUCUGAUAAGCCGGUUGUGAAAGCCCCGGGCUCAACCUGGGAACGGCAUCCGGAACUGUCAGGCUAGAGUGCAGGAGAGGAAGGUAGAAGUCCCGGUGUAGCGGUGAAAUGCGUAGAGAUCGGGAGGAAUACCAGUGGCGAAGGCGGCCUUCUGGACUGACACUGACGCUGAGGUGCGAAAGCGUGGGUAGCAAACAGGAUUAGAUACCCUAGUAGUC
rnacentral:rRNA from 1 species